AUGAGACUGGAAAAUGAGUGCUCUAGAAAUUAUUUCUCCAUCUGCCACUAACUUUGGGGAAGCUCCCCGGCCUCUGCCUCUCCACGCGAAGCCACGCGGACACCAGCACUUCCCCACCUGCGAGGUGCGCGGGGCUGUGUGCCGCUGAAAAUAGGCGGCAGCAGGGACAAACCUGCAGUGGAAGUGAGAACUCCUGCCCCCUCCUGAUAAUGUGAAUAGCUGACCCUCUUAACUCCAGCGACGUUUAUAACCAUGGGUAAAUGCACCUCAGCGUGGAAGCAUGUUGAAGGACCUCUCUGAGAUUCCGUGAAUCCCCGGGUGUAUCCACAGGCUGCAUUUGUUCGUGGUGUAGGUAAGUCCUGCCCGUCGCCCAGCUGGCACCUGGUCAGGCAGCCAGUUCUGGUGAGCAGCCCGUGGUGAGCCCAAGUACGGCAGAGCACUGAAGAGCCUGGCUGAUUUCCAGCAGGCCCGUAACUCUACGCAUACGAGAAGUUUCCGUGGAGUCAACCAGAGCUACUCAGGUGCUUAGGGCCAUGACCAGCCCAGCAGCUCUGCAGCAGCAGGUCCCACCAGCAGUCACUCUUUCGCAAUGGGCCGGGAUGCUCUGGCCACGAGAUAGAUUUGCUACCGACAGCGAUGUGACACCCCUGGUGACACCACGCUUCAGGGCUCGCCAUCAGGGUGAAACGCAGCCCUCUGCUUCCCCGGCAGCAACUGCAGAGCCUGGGCAUCGAGCACUCACUGCAAUUAGGCGCGGUCUAUAUGGGACCAGAAAUGAGCUACCCUUUCUCCUUUCUGAGUGUCACAGUAAUAAAGCUUCUCUUCUUCUGAUCAGGCCAGAAACAAACAUCUCUGUUCUCACGGAUCUCUGCAAAGCGGGCACUGUCGAGUAGGAACCUACGACAGAUUAUUAAGAUGGGAGCCGAGAAAAAGAAAUUAUUGAAUUUAAAAAAAUAUUCCUCUGAUGCGAAAUGCAGCUCUCGCCCAGCCUGUGUUUUGAGGGACUAAAAUGUUCGCGCUGUGUUCCCCUGCCUGUUUAAGCAGACCUCAAUGCAUGUAAGUGCCAAAAAAGUGGAAUUCCUGAACAGCAGGUGGAAAGAAAACACAAGAUCAAAAGCACUCGUAGCUGCCAAGAGGACCUGCAGUGCUGCUUGCGGGUGCACGAAGAGUCAUGCGUGCGCCUGGCGGGGUCGGAGACUUUUGGAAGGUCAUCAAGGAGCUGGUUCAGGCAUCCCACAUCAAAAGGCAGCACGAGGAGACAAACUAGCACACAUGGUCCCAUGGGGAUUGUGCUAGACAUCGGUCACCCACUCGUAGCAGAAUGUAACUCAUUUUCCCAUCACAUCUAUGGAAACAGCCCUAAGAAAUUAGUGCUCAGUGAAGCCUGUAGGUAAGAAAAAUAAAUUUAAGUGCUCGUACUGGGUGAAAAUUGGGCAGUGGCAACUUUGGCUAUGUGACCUAUCCGGGGGGACUACAGAAGAAACAUCCUUCCGAGUUCAUCCUUCCAGUAAAGGCCAAGGAUGCAAGCUUCGCUGUCCUUGCAGCCAGCCCUAACCUCAGCGCCUGUUCCUGCACCUGGGCCACCUGGGCCUGCACCAUGGUCCUGCCUCUUUAGGGAUGACCCAUACGUUGGGGAUGCAGGGAAGAAACUGCUCCAGCAUUCCCUGGAGCUGCUGGCCUUUAGGACAGACGCCUAAGAGAUGCUCCUUGCCUGCCACUGCUCUCCCCUCCACUACUAUCCCUCGGUCUCUGGAAAAGGUGGGAGAACCUUCCCCUGCAAAGGUGACCUGAGCUUAGAAACACGGAGAAGUUGGCCCAAAAGGCCCAGGCUGUCUCCGACCCUGUGGAGCAGGAUGGGUGCUGCGAGCCCUGUGGCGUGAGCAAGGGAUCUGGACCAUUAAAAAAGUCACCGCUUCUGUUUAUCUGCGUAGGGGCUUCUCAGGCCUGUGAGGGGCCAUAUCUCAGAGAACAAAAAUUCAUUUCCAAAAGGCCACUUUGAACAUUCCCCACUUGCCACGGCAGGAGACGGAGCCUGAGAAAGGACUUGCUGGGCAGAGUACUGGUAUCAGCAGCGGGAUCACAGACUGUCAGUGCUUGCUUCCAUUUUUGCUGCUACAUAUUACCAAAUUGCUUUUAAAAAAAGGCAUACAUUAGUGGGGUUAAAAAUAACUACAAGGUGCACUGCUAUUCCCAAAGACAGCCUUUUUUAUUUUAAAAUUCUGCAUCUGAAAACACAGUAUGACAGAAAGCAUUUAUAUACAACUGCAGUGUUUUUGGUAUAAUACAGUAUUUAAUACAUCCAUUUCUUUUUCUGCAAAAAAAUUUGCUUUGUCGGACAAAAAAACCCAAACUCCAAUAGACAAAGAAUACAGCUAAGGCACAUUGUUUUCUGCUAAAUGAAAGACAAAAGGGUGCAAAAACGGGUAGUGCAAUAAUUGCUGAAAAUCACAUUCUACUACAAGAAAAGCAUUCUGACUUUGAACUUUGAUUACCGGUCAAUUUAAGACAUUUCAAUAUCUCAUAAAAUACUCCUUUAAAUAAAUAGCAAAAUAUCUACAUC